AUGGCUUCCAAUGGGGUGUUCGCUGAAUUACUCCGUGCCUACAAACUUGAUGGAACAAACUACACGGUUUGGAAAAGGAAAAUCAUGUUCUUGCUUACGGCUGAGAAUAUUGAUUAUGUUUCUGAAACUCCGGCGCCUAACGAGCCAGCAGAGGAUGCUACAGAUGAAGAAAAACAGGAAUACAAUGAUGAACUGAAGCAAUGGACCAAGGACAACAAGACUGCCAGAGUUUAUAUCCUUGGCUCGAUGACUGAUUCGUUGGCUGCGGAAUAUGAGUCGGAUAGAACAGCUUGUGGAAUAAUGCUCAGGCUGGAACAAGAUUUUGGAGAAGUUUCCCUUGUGAAGGUGCUUAGUCUUGUGAACAAGUUUCUGACAUCGAAGAUGGGUGAUAAAACAGUCAAUGAACACUUCAACAAGCUCUGUGUCUAG
rnacentral:rRNA from 1 species